rnacentral:rRNA from 1 species
GACGAACGCUGGCGGCGUGCUUAACACAUGCAAGUCGAACGGAAAGGCCCUGCUUUUGUGGGGUGCUCGAGUGGCGAACGGGUGAGUAACACGUGAGUAACCUGCCCUUGACUUUGGGAUGACUUCAGGAAACUGGGGCUAAUACCGGAUAGGAGCUCCUGCUGCAUGGUGGGGGUUGGAAAGUUUCGGCGGUUGGGGAUGGACUCGCGGCUUAUCAGCUUGUUGGUGGGGUAGUGGCUUACCAAGGCUUUGACGGGUAGCCGGCCUGAGAGGGUGACCGGCCACAGUGGGACUGAGAUACGGCCCAGACUCCUACGGGAGGCAGCAGUGGGGAAUAUUGCACAAUGGGCGGAAGCCUGAUGCAGCAACGCCGCGUGCGGGAUGACGGCCUUCGGGUUGUAAACCGCUUUCGCCUGUGACGAAGCGUGAGUGACGGUAAUGGGUAAAGAAGCACCGGCUAACUACGUG